AGGCAUUUUGGGAGCUUACUGGUUUCGGAUUCCAUCGGAACUCUGAAGUUAAGCGAGUAGCGCGCGAGGUCAAUCCCAUGAUGGGUGACCCACUAGGAAGUUCUCAUGUGAGUUCCCAGAAACAAAACAAUGAGGGCAUGAUCGGGGCCCAAAGCGGACAGUAUCGUGCUACUGUGGUGGAGCGGGCCUGUGAUGUGGUGGACCCCGGGCCAGGAUGUAACAAUUUGGUAUCAGAGUCAAUCCUUGGUUGGAUGUGUGCCGACGAGGACGUCGGGCCCCUAAGGGGGUGGAUUGUGACAUCCCACAUCGCCCAAGGGAAUGAAUCAUCUAAGCCUUAUAUGUAUAUUCAUCCCUACCUAUCACGAGGCCUUUUGGGAGUUCACUGGCUUCGGGUUCCAUCGGAACUCCGAAGUUAAACGAGUAGCGCGCGAGAGCAAUUCCAUGAUGGGUGACCUACUGGGAAGUUCUCAUGUGAGUUUCC
rnacentral:sRNA from 1 species